UUCCCACACAGGGAAUCGAACCCGAGCCUUAGAAUGAAAGCCAGAUAUCCUAGCCACUAGACCACGUGGGA